rnacentral:rRNA from 1 species
AUUGAACGCUGGCGGCAGGCUUAACACAUGCAAGUCGAACGAGUGGCGGACGGGUGAGUAAUGCUUGGGAAUCUAGCUUAUGGAGGGGGAUAACUACGGGAAACUGUAGCUAAUACCGCGUACCAUAGGAUGAGCCCAAGUGGGAUUAGGUAGUUGGUGGGGUAAAGGCUCACCAAGCCGACGAUCUCUAGCUGGUCUGAGAGGAUGACCAGCCACACUGGGACUGAGACACGGCCCAGACUCCUAAGGGGGGCAGCAGUGGGGAAUAUUGCGAGAUGGGGGCAACCUGACGCAGCCAUGCCGCGUGAAUGAAGAAGGCCUGCGGGUGGUAAAGUAAUGUCGGUAGCGAGGCGUUAACUACAGAAGAAGAACCGGCUAACUCCGUGCCAGCCGCCGCGGUAAUUC